rnacentral:rRNA from 1 species
AUUGAACGCUGGCGGCAGGCCUAACACAUGCAAGUCGAACGAGUGGCGGACGGGUGAGUAAUGUCUGGGAAACUGCCCGAUGGAGGGGGAUAACUACUGGAAACGGUAGCUAAUACCGCAUACCCUCGGAUGUGCCAAGAUGGGAUUAGCUAGUAGGUGGGGUAAAGGCUCACCUAGGCGACGAUCCCUAGCUGGUCUGAGAGGAGGACCAGCCACACUGGAACUGAGACACGGUCCAGACUCCUACGGGAGGCAGCAGUGGGGAAUAUUGCACAAUGGGCGCAAGCCUGAGGCAGCCAGGCCGCGUGUAUGAAGAAGGCCGUCGUGUUGUAAAGUACGUUCAGCGGGGAGGCGUUACCCGCAUAAGAAGCACCGGCUAACUCCGUGCCAGCAGCCGCGGUAAUUC